rnacentral:rRNA from 1 species
CGUCUAUAUACGUAUAGCAUAUCAAUAAGCGGAGGAAAAGAAACUAACUAGGAUUCCCUCAGUAACGGCGAGUGAAGCGGGAAGAGCUCAAAUUUGAAAUCUUCAAGGUUCUACCUUGACGAAUUGUAGUUUAAAGAAGUGUUUUCUGUUGGAGUUUUGGUAAAAGUUCUUUGGAAUAGGACAUCAUAGAGGGUGAGAAUCCCGUAUUUGACCAUUAUUUCCAACUUUGUGAUACACUUUCAAAGAGUCGGAUUGUUUGGGAAUGCAGUCCAAAAUGGGUGGUAAAUUUCAUCUAAAGCUAAAUACUGGCGAGAGACCGAUAGCGAACAAGUACCGUGAGGGAAAGAUGAAAAGAACUUUGAAAAGAGAGUUAAACAGUACGUGAAAUUAUCAAAAGGGAAGCGUUUGACACCAGUGUUGUUUUCUCGAAAAUCAAUUAAAAAUGGCGGAUUUUGUGUUGUAUUGACUUUAUCAGCUUUCUGCACUUUUUUCCUUAUCUUUUUUAAUGCACUUUUCGUUUAACAAGUCAACAUCAAUUUCUUUUGUUGUAAAAGGGUCAUUGGAAGGUGGCUUUCUUUUCGGAGAAAGUGUUUAUAGCCUUUGGACUUCUGCAAUCGGAGAGAUUGAGGUCUGCAGCGUAGAUCCUUCGGGGUUAGAUGCAUUUGUGCUAAGUUAUAGCCUUUCAUAGACAACUUGUUGACUAUGAUCAGUCAUGUAGCUUACUCGCUUAUGUUAUUUUACCUACGCUUAGGAUGUUGACGAUCAGCUGAGCGCG